rnacentral:rRNA from 2 species
AUGGACGCAAGUCUGAUGGAGCAACGCUGCGUGAGUGAAGAAGGCUUUCGGGUCGUAAAACUCUGUUGUUGGAGAAGAAUGGUCGGCAGAGUAACUGUUGUCGGCGUGACGGUAUCCAACCAGAAAGCCACGGCUAACUACGUGCCAGCGGCCGCGGUAAUACGUAGGUGGCAAGCGUUAUCCGGAUUUAUUGGGCGUAAAGCGAGCGCAGGCGGUUUUUUAAGUCUGAUGUGAAAGCCCUCGGCUUAACCGAGGAAGCGCAUCGGAAACUGGGAAACUUGAGUGCAGAAGAGGACAGUGGAACUCCAUGUGUAGCGGUGAAAUGCGUAGAUAUAUGGAAGAACACCAGUGGCGAAGGCGGCUGUCUGGUCUGUAACUGACGCUGAGGCUCGAAAGCAUGGGUAGCGAACAGGAUUAGAUACCCUGGUAGUCCAUGCCGUAAACGAUGAAUGCUAGGUGUUGGAGGGUUUCCGCCCUUCAGUGCCGCAGCUAACGCAUUAAGCAUUCCGCCUGGGGAGUACGACCGCAAGGUUGAAACUCAAAGGAAUUGACGGGGGCCCGCACAAGCGGUGGAGCAUGUGGUUUAAUUCGAAGCAACGCGAAGAACCUUACCAGGUCUUGACAUCUUUUGAUCACCUGAGAGAUCAGGUUUCCCCUUCGGGG